rnacentral:lncRNA from 1 species
GGGACAUUAGUUAUGUGUUUUCCUUAUGGGCCUUGAAAGAAGGAAGAGGAAGGUGAUUCCCGUUGUAACUAAUAUGCUACUUUGCAUAUUACUGUCAAACCUGCCAGGUCACAGUUUAAUGUGCUUAACAACUUCCUCAUGUUCUCAAUCAUAAGAGGUAACAUCCUGUCACCAAGCUUGAGUAUCUGUUCUCUUUCGAUAUGGAAAGAUUCAAAUUAAUGGUGGGUGAGUUGACUCGCAUGAAACUGGCUGCCUAGCAAGACUGGAAUGUAUAAAAGUGCUGUUUACCUCAAACGAUACGUCCUCGGAGACAAUUUACCAUACUACAAAGAUCAAGAAAAUGGAAGGUAGAGUCAUUAACACUACAGAUACCUUUGAAUUGUGUGCAUGCUCUUCUGAGGCAUAUUACUACUUGACCUUAUUUUUAUAAAUUGAUAUUAAGGUUCAUAAGCAAUUGAAUGCAGACAAUGCGUGUAUAUAUGUGUGUAUAUUUGUUUUCCCGGGGAUUGUGGCGGAAAGUAGGUGCUGGAGGAAAUAAUGGUCGGAAGCAAAGGUUGAGUAAAAAUGCUAUGAUAUUAAUAAUACACACCAGUUAUGGGGUCUACUGUAUGGCGGGUACUUUGUUUAUGCUAUCUCAUUUAACCCUAAACAUUUUUUCUCACUUUUUAGAUGAACGUAGAGGAGAAAAGUUAAACCUCAGAGAAAUUAAGUAUGCCCUGGACUCUAAGGCAUCUUGCUAAUAAUUGACAGGGCUGACAUUUGACUCUUGGUCUGACACGAGAGCCAAUAUACUUUGAAAUAUGUCACAGAUCCUCACAUUGCAGACUCAUCUGGGCCAAGGUAAUCCCCGUAAAAGAGAACACAAAGCUGGGCCAUCGGCCAUGGUUGCCUGAGGAUAUAGACCUUUGGUCGGACAAGGGUUACAGGUAAUGUCACUCUGUAAGGCCAAGUAACAGGCCAACUUGCAAGCUGGUGGAGGAGUAAUCCAAUACUACCAAGUGUCCAAAGAGGAGACUCAGUGGGAUAGAAUUAACUAAAACUUGAGUCACUACUGCUAUGGCAUAACUCUUGGAACCUCUAACCUCCUUAAAAGAGCAUUCGACUCUCCCUUAGGAGGAAGCCCCACACCCGCACUGCUCUGAACUCUAGGGCUUUCCCAGGGAGCCCAGGGGCCUUUUUCAUCUGAAUUCCAACAUUCUGCGGGGAAACUAAACCUGCCCAACAGGUUCCGAAGAUGUAAAAAGCCCAGCAACAGGAAGCCAGUUGACCCCAUUUUUAAAACCCUAUUCAAAAUAGCCCUCACCCUUGCCUCCCUCUUGCCACUCAAGGUGAAAGGUAGCUGCAGAUCCUAUACAGUACAUAACUGGCCUCAGAUCUCCAGGAAGACCAGAUGAGCUCCCAUAUCAGAAGGCUGACUUUUCUACAGCAUUCAGUAGAAGUUAAAGGACCAAUGAACCACCCUCCUCUCUCCACCAGGUUCGUAACAAACUGAGACACACACACAGGACUCGAAGGAAGGAUCAGAAGGAAAGUCGAAUUGCUGUGGAGCUGGAUUGAGAACAAUAUUUGGACCCUGAAGGGGCUUACCAAUACACGGCCUCAUGGUGUGCACUGACUUUCCAGAUCUGUCUGUCACAGGCCCCUGCCCUGACCAGCAGAAACUUCCCAGGAACUUCGACAGAUGGAGAAGAGAACUUCCACCCCUUGGCAAGGUACAUGCAAGGGGAGAGAGUAAAAGAGGCCGUCACACGCAGUAAGUGGCCUCUGCCCGUAUAAAUUCCUUUGCAGGAGGAUCGUGGGUGAAUAACUGUCAGAUUCUUGCUACUUCACCAAUGAGAUAAGUCCCUCUUUCUCCCCAGGGUGGAGUAAGUAAUACAGAAGAAGGUCAAAGGUUAGUACCUUGCUACUCAAAGUAUACCCUUGGGCUGACAUGAUCACCCGAAAGCUUCUUGGAAAUACAGAAUCUCAGGCCCAUCCCUACCAAAUACCAAUGUGUGUUUCAACGAAUUCCCUGGGGUGAUUCGUGUACACAUGACCGUUUGAGAACCAGUGCUUAACUGAAGUACUUUAACAGGAAUCCCAGAACAGGGCAAAAAAAUUUCUCAGAAGCUGAAGUGAGGCGGCCGGGGGGCCAAAGCCAUCUUCAACAUUUCAUAGUGAAGCUUGGAAUUUUAAACUAGAGCCACAGUUUCAGUUGUUUCAAACUAAAUGAAUUGAAUACAUUCCUGGUCUGCUGUUAGCCUGUGUUUAGCCAAAGAGUUGGAAGCGAUCAACAGAAAAUAAUGAUUGCAUUUGUUCACUUAACAGGCCUCAGUUUCAAGCAUCUCAAAAACUGAGAAUCACCAUCAAAUGGGAGGCUCUAAAGGACAAAUACUGCUUGGUGGCCAAUCACAUGGACAGCUCCCCUGCCCAGCUUCUGGCUUCAAGGGAUCCAUACCACGUGAUCUUUAUUUUACAGGCAGCUUAGAACUGGAAACAAUCUGACAAUUCUCUCGAUGACAAGUCUAGUGCUUAGUGGCAGAUUUUGUCAUAUAUACGUGAACCCCAAUUGUUUACUCAAUUCUUCAAGAAUCCAAAUAUUGCAUUUAAUUUUCUAUCCCACAGCAUGGUCAGAAAUGCAAUCGGUUUUGCAACUUUCACAUCUACCAUACCAAAAAGUACUUUGAACAACGUUUAUGGGUCUCUCCCACAAACGCCAAUGGAAAAUUAUUGCCAGCAAGAGGCUUACCUCCUGGCUACCAUCUGCCCUGUUUGAAACAUUUCAAUCUCGGAUUGCAGGGGUUUUUUACAACUCGCUUCAGGGCUUUGGGGAAGACACUCUGCUUUGCCAACAGCAGGCUCCACUCUCUUUCCUGAAGUCUGUACCGCUUGUGAGCUGUUGGUAUUUCUUCAGGACCAUCGGCACAGGCACAGAGUGAUCGGAGGAUUGAGUCUUCAUGCCUGGUUAAAGAGAGAGAUUGGAAAGAGUGUUUAGCUGAUCAGAAAGGAAAUCUCUAACCCUUGCUACCCAGAACUGAACCGGUAUAAACUGGCACAUUCAAAAGAAGCUACUGGGUUUACUUAACAUUCCACUUGGUUCCCUGUUAAGAGUUCAAAGCAUGCUAUUGCUUAGUCCAGAGAAAACUAGUAAAUAGCGGGGUGUCGAAUAUUAUAUGAUAUAUAGCUUUUUUUGUAAUAGUAUUUACACAGAACCUGUCAGCAUAUUAACACAAGGCAUUUUCACAGUAAGCUAUUUUAGAAGCG